CAUGGACAACGCGAGGAAGAUUUGGUCUACCCAAUGCGGCGAUGAGGCGUCUGAUGAACGUAUAGUCUAUCCGAUUGGAGGCUCUGCGGAAGAAGAACACGGAGAACACCUCUCUUCCUUUACAUCUAAAAUUGAAUUUACAGGUUGUCUUAGAAAAUCGACAGCUGAAGGUGACUAUUUCAAUUCUUAUAAUCAAGAGCUACAAACUUCUUCUAGCUCCAAAACAAGGCAGGUAAUGCAACUUAUGCAAGUAAGUGGAGGAUGCCCAAAAGAUUCAGAAGGGUGUGAUGACUGCUUUGAAAAGGCAUCACUUCCUAACAUAAGCGAAGAGGAGAAGAGGAAGAUCCUUCACUUUGUGAUUAUUGGUGGUGGACCCACUGGGGUUGAAUUUGGUGCAGAGCUGCAUGUUUUUCUUAUCGAAGAUAUGGUGA